CCGCGAGCCGGCCCCGGAUAAAAGCGGAGGAAGAUGGAUGGAUGGAUGGAUGGAUGAAACAAAAGUGUCUUUUUCGGAAAAAGCAGCACCAAACACUCGACACGGAAAACAAAAGCAUGCAUCGCGCUCUACAGAAAAUUCAAGCCAGGGUCGUGACUGAUACCAAGCGGCCGAAAAGCAUCUCUCCCUCCCUCCAAAAAGAGCUCAGGGAUAUGAUUUCAGAACUGGCUGAUGAGGAUUUGCCCUUUUUUAAAUUGUUUGGGACAGAAUUACUGCAUUUUUGAGCGGGUGUAAUUGUGAUUUUUGACACCAUCGGAAGCUGCUGAUGAACUUGACUCUUCUAUUUCUCCGACCUCAUUGCCACAAAUCAUUGGAUGAGGUGGUAGUUGUGUCCUGCUGAGCUAAAGUGGUUUUCUAUUGUCCUUUCGGAACAAGAAAUCUGUACAUGUUGUGUUGUCUUAGGCUAUUAAAGUGUGUAGUAGUAAUAAAGUUCACUAAUAAUUCUAAUACAAUUCACUGGCUGUUUCUACCAUUGCUUCAUAAUUCAGCAUGUCCGUUAACCUCGAAGGUAGUGAAGUGAAUGAGGCUAAGGCUAUUCGACAGCCAAAAUAAAAAAAAAAAAGAAAAAAAAGGAAAGAAAAAAGAAAAUCUCUGGAGCUGAACUGAAUAUCGCACCAAUUUCGUGAUUGGAUGUGGGGCCAGGGUGGGCCAAGCUUCUGAUUGUGUGGGCCUGGCCUGGGUGAUACUGGGAAAAUUAAUUGCAAUUGUAAAUAGUUCAUUGUGAAACAGCAACUGCUGGAAGGGGCUGCUGUCCAUAAAGAAGAUGCUGGUAUGACAGUGUGGAGUGUAGGGCAUGUCAAUCCGAUGGCCAGUUUCGGGGUAGCGGAGUACAAUCAAGAAAUGACUGUUCCUAGCUUUCUCCAUCAUCAUGUGCAUCAUGACAUGGAAUGUUUUUGGGUCAUCAGCCAUCAUCUAAUAUUUGAUAGGGGCAUCUGAGUGAACAAAUAACUAUUGAAAACUUGCUUUCUGUGUAUUUUUAUAUACUGUCUGCAAAUAGUAAAGGCUUCUCUUGCCUUAGCUAAGUUCGGUGCUCAUAACUCCUCAAUCAGAAAGACAAUGGGCAAAAAAUAGCCUUCAUGGGAAAGUACGUACACACACACACACACACACACACAC